AGCGAACGCUGGCGGCAGGCCUUACACAUGCAAGUCGAACGGUAACAGGUCUUCGGAUGCUGACGAGUGGCGAACGGGUGAGUAAUACAUCGGAACGUGCCUAGUAGUGGGGGAUAACUACUCGAAAGAGUGGCUAAUACCGCAUGAGAUCUACGGAUGAAAGCAGGGGAUCGCAAGACCUUGUGCUACUAGAGCGGCCGAUGGCAGAUUAGGUAGUUGGUGGGAUAAAAGCUUACCAAGCCGACGAUCUGUAGCUGGUCUGAGAGGACGAUCAGCCACACUGGGACUGAGACACGGCCCAGACUCCUACGGGAGGCAGCAGUGGGGAAUUUUGGACAAUGGGCGCAAGCCUGAUCCAGCAAUGCCGCGUGCAGGAUGAAGGCCUUCGGGUUGUAAACUGCUUUUGUACGGAACGGAAAGCCCCGGGUUAAUACCCUGGGGUCAUGACGGUACCGUAAGAAUAAGCACCGGCUAACUACGUGCCAGCAGCCGCAGUAA
rnacentral:rRNA from 1 species